rnacentral:rRNA from 1 species
CAUCGGAACGUAUCCUUAAGUGGGGGAUAACGCAUCGAAAGAUGCGCUAAUACCGCAUAAUCUCUAAGGAGAAAAGCAGGGGAUCGCAAGACCUUGCGCUUUUGGAGCGGCCGAUGUCUAAUUAGCUAGUUGGUGAGGUAAAGGCUUACCAAGGCUUCGAUCAGUAGCUGGUCUGAGAGGACGACCAGCCACACUGGGACUGAGACACGGCCCAG